rnacentral:lncRNA from 1 species
CUAAUAAUAGCAACAAGAAUGGAAAGCAUGAUCUCUGAAGAAAAUUUGCUCAAGUGUUGUUCUUGUUCACAUAGUUCAGUUCCAGUAUUAUAGAAAGCGCCGCAGACAAAUUCUAGCCUCCUGGCCGAACAUGAAGUAGCUAGUUCAACUAGAGUUAUCCAUCAUUUUAGGCACCACAACAUCUCGAAAUUAAAAAAAAAAAAAAAAAA